rnacentral:tRNA from 1 species
GCAGGGGUAGCCCAGUGGUAGAGUGCGUGCUUAGCAUGCAUGUGGUCCUGGGUUCAAUCCCCAGUACUUCCA